GCUUACGGCCAUACCAACCUGGCUAUGCCCGAUCUCGUCUGAUCUCGGAAGCUAAGCAGGUUUGGGCCUGGUUAGUACUUGGAUGGGAGACCGCCUGGGAAUACCAGGUGCUGUAAAGC
rnacentral:rRNA from 1 species